rnacentral:rRNA from 1 species
AGUGAACGCUGGCGGUAGGCCUAACACAUGCAAGUCGAACGGCAGCACAGUAAGAGCUUGCUCUUACGGGUGGCGAGUGGCGGACGGGUGAGGAAUACAUCGGAAUCUACUUUUUCGUGGGGGAUAACGUAGGGAAACUUACGCUAAUACCGCAUACGACCUACGGGUGAAAGCAGGGGAUCUUCGGACCUUGCACGAUUGAAUGAGCCGAUGUCGGAUUAGCUAGUUGGCGGGGUAAAGGCCCACCAAGGCGACGAUCCGUAGCUGGUCUGAGAGGAUGAUCAGCCACACUGGAACUGAGACACGGUCCAGACUCCUACGGGAGGCAGCAGUGGGGAAUAUUGGACAAUGGGAGCAAGCCUGAUCCAGCCAUACCGCGUGGGUGAAGAAGGCCUUCGGGUUGUAAAGCCCUUUUGUUGGGAAAGAAAAGCAGCAGGUUAAUACCCCGCUGUUCUGACGGUACCCAAAGAAUAAGCACCGGCUAACUUCGUG